AAUAAAGCCACACUGGACCUCUACGCAGAGGGCUCCUCUUUUGAACUCUGUAGGCGAUCCACACAGUUCAUCGCACCAAUCAUAUUCCCUGGCAUUUCAAGUGUGGGACCACUCAAAGCGGCCCCAAGCCUGGUAUUUCUCUAUUUUGUCCUCCAUUGGAGAGCAUGGUUGUGCCAAGGCUCUCUAGCCGGGACAGCCCAUCCUCAGGCCACCCAGCUCUGUGAGUGAGUUCCCUGCACAACCUGUGACUGACUCACGGAUGCAGUGGGGCUGAUCUUCACACGGCCCCCCAAGCAGCCUUUUCCAGUUCACAUCUGCCAACAAGGCAGCCAAGAGGGUGGUUUAGGAAGUAGAGAAAAGGUGAAAAGGCAGCGGAGUGAGCCAGUUGUCCUGUCUCUCCUCUUUUUCCUGCCCCCGAUGACUUGCAUUUUCUCUGAGACAGCUGUCAUUCUGGUCUCCCAGCCAUUCUUAGGAAGAGACAUGCCUGGCUCCGGGAAGGGGCAACUUCUCUGUUAAGUAAUGAAGAAAAAGCUCAAGAAGUGUCCUGAACAGCAGCAGCUGUGGGUGGGGAAUGUUGAAUGUCUGGGAGACUGAGAGCUGGCCCAAGUUUUUGAAUGAAGACUUCUGUGUUAAAGAGGAUCUAAGGUUUGUUGGAGGAGCAUGGCCCUGGUACAACACUUUGUCCUUUCCCAAGUAGGUCCUUCACAGAGGAUUUAAGCAAUAGAGUAUUUUGUUUUAAAUUCUGAGCUAAUUUAUUUUUUCAAAUUUGUAUUUCAGUAGCUUUAGGGGUACAAGUGGCUUUUGGUUACAUGGAUGAAUUGUGUACUGUGAAGUCUGGGCUUUAGGUGUAUCCAUCACCCAAAUAGUGUACAUUGUACCCAAUAGAUAAUCUUUCAUCCCUCAUGCCCCAUCUAGCCUCCCCCAUUCUGAGUCUUCAACAUCCAUUAUAUUAUGUAUGCCUUUGCAUACCCAUAGAUUAGCUCCCACUUAUAAGUGAGAACAUGCAGUAUUUGGUUUUCCAUUCUCGAGUUGCUUCUUGCUGCAAAAGACAUUAUUUUGUUCUUUUUUAAGGCUGAGUAGUAUUCCAUGGUGUGUGUGUGCGUGUGUAUGUGAAUACAUAUAUAU
rnacentral:lncRNA from 1 species